GCUCUGCUUCCUUUAUUUGAAUAAGGUUAUAAUUCACUUCUCGUUGUAAAUGAGGAGUUUCUCCAGCACAUGACACUCCUUUGCUUCUCAAUGAAUGAGGCCUCUGACCUUCCCAUUGAGAAAAAGCCACAGUAAGCCCCGCCCCUCUGACACGAUUGGUCAGAAAAAGAGGCGCCGCCCACCUGAGCUCCCGCCCCUCUUUAAAGAGGUCGGACCGGCAACAUGUGACUCGAUUACAGCGUGCGAGUAAAAAGGGGAAAGAAGAACAGAUCAGGAAUGAGGGGAAACUUAGAGGAGAGGAACGAAAGAAAGAGAGAAAGGUGGAGAUAUAAUGAAGGCAGAUGAGAGUUUUCCGCUGCACGAAUGGUGAGAGGGUGAAACUCCUCAACACUCCAGAGCGGAUUCACUGGGAAGGAAGAGAAGGAACAUGAGAAGUGGAAACCAGAAGGUUUGUAAACAGGCUGCAGCACAGGAGCGGAGCGGCACAGAUGCUGCAGAGGUCUCCACAUCGAGGCGUCC